CACAUCGACUUUCAACCAGACUCCCCCAAAAUCUCAGACACCCCUUAGCUUUCUCUGUUCUUCAACCUAGAAUACACCGACGAACUCUGUCGACCAACUCUGGUGAAGGACGAUAAUUUCCGGUGAAGAACGACCAUUAUCGGCUAACAUACCAUAAUCUCCAAGGUAGGCGUUUGGUUUUUUACCCUGUUCGAUUUUCGCUUUCUUCUUCCCUAGUCUAAAAAAUUAUUUCAUUGUUUCUUUUAUUUUCUUUCUUUGAUAAUAUUUAUGAUAAACCCAUUUUACUUCUGUUUUGUCUGUAUUAUACGUUAUAUUUUGUGAUUUUUAGUUUGCGAAAUUGGGGGAUUUAUUUAUUAGGUUUUGAUUUUGUGUUAGAAACCAUGAGAUUUGAUGUUUGCUAUCGAUGUUCGAUGUUCGAUGAUAGUAUGAUGCCAUAGUGAAUGCUCCCUAUUGUAGUGUUGAUCAGAAUGGAGGAAGAGUUCCAUGAUAUGGUUUGGAGUUAGUAUCAUAAUUUACAUGGCUGAAAAGUUUAUCAUCACUACAUUGUUUUCUAGUCAUUCUCGUGAAAUAUUGAGUUAUUUGUUGACAAAGCUGCUGGAACAAGGUCAAAAUUCCAGUUAUUAUGAGAUGUUAAAUUAAUCUUGCUGUGAAGUGAUACCAUCCUAAUUGUAUAUAAUAUUUCUCCUCUCUCUAAGGGGUAAUUUCUGAAGUUGGAUUUUAAGUUCAUACGGGAAGAUUUUGCGAGGGAAGGGAUUUUAGAAUCCUGCCAUCUAUUUUCCGUUUUAAUUUGCUUUGGACAUCUCUCUUACUAAAGGUUUGUUACAAUUUUGUUCUCUAUAAUUUUUUGGCCAAGUUAUUUAGUAUGGACUUUUCCUGAGUAAUUUUUCAUUAGGUGGGUAUAUAGUCAUUUAGCAGUUAUGAUUUUAAAUGAACUAUACGAUGAUUGGCUCGAGAUGCUAGGGCAGUUGGCUUGGCUUAUACAAAAUGUGUAUUUAUUAUUUAAGAUUUAAAAUCACAAUUUUUGUAAUAUUGGUCAUGAGAAGUAAAUGAUAAUUCAGUUUGUAAUCAUUAUGGCAAUACCUUGUAACCAGAAUCAGCUUGUUGGACCUUUUGCAUGAGCGAAUUGCUCCUAAAGAAAACACAUGUUGAAACUACCACUGCAAAGUUUGGUUUCUUUUAUUUCACUCGAUACGAGUAUUCUGAAGUUUAUUUGGCUUAUUUACUAAUUCCCAAGCUCCGUUCGUUUAUUGGUAUUUAUAUUUGUGGUUUUCUUAAUAAUUCGGAGCUUCGCAAAUUGGUCAGUUUCUCGUCGAUACUGUUUUUUGCUUCCUAUGCUUUAGUUAUGUGUAAAGUAGUAGCGUUCUAUGCCAUUUCUUAGUUUCUUGUGUGAUAGUUGUAUGUAGUUGAUUUAAAUAUUUAUGCUUCUUGAAUGCUAUAUUAAUCCUGAAAGCUCCUAGAAGUUUCAUGUUUAAAGCAAUGUUAUUAAAAGCGAGCGCUUCUCGCUUAAAGCGCAAAAUCAAAGCGAGGCGAGGGGUCUACGCUUUUCUGCCCUGAAGCAGGUAAAUUUCUCUUCUCUUCUUCUCUUCUUCUGCUUCUUCUCUUUUUUCUCUUCUCUCCCUCUUCUGAUUUCUCUGCUACUGUUCGACUCCUCUCAUCUUUUCUCUUUCCUUUAUAUUUUUGUUAUUUCUUCUUUUCUAUCAUGCCUUGUUUCUCUUUUAUCUGGUAUAACCUCAGUUUUAUUAUAGUAAUUUUUUCUACACAUUUCCAUCUAGAAGCAAAGAUGAACUCCACCUAUGUCACCUAGAAAAGGGAUUAUAUAAAACCAUUUUUAAGUAUUGAUUGCUAAAACUGCCUCCCGGUACCAACUCCAAAGGGUCCCUGUUAAUAACUCUGCAUAGAUGGUCUAGUUUGUAUCAGUUCCUUGUAUAUUAAGCUUGUUUUUGCCGGUUAAUAUAGCAGUCAUGAAGGAUGAUGAUAUAACGCAUGCAUGUAUUUGUGGUUGUUUCAUUUUAAUAAGCUUCAGGAUCAUUCCAUUAUUUUAGUUUGUAUCUGUUCCUUGUAUAUUAAGCUUGUUUUUGCUGGUUAAUAUAGCAGUCAUAUAUACCAUCUUUACUUGUUUAAAUGUCUUUGUAUGCAAUGUUUAGUCCUUUUACUGUACUAAAGCUACUAAAUGGUGUAGGUAGUUUGGGAGCAUGAACAAUUUUCAAGACUGAGAGUCAUUGCACCAACACUAUCUGAAUUCUGCUGCACCUGAAUUACUGGAAAGCACAUGAGGCUGAUAACAGACUGUGGCUUAGCUUCUAAUACCUCUGUGUUCUAUUGUUAUAACUUCAUAUACUAGUUAGUGCUUUUGGUUGAUUGUUUUUCAGCAUUUUGUUAUACUUUUUUCUAUCUUUUUUGGAAUUUUAAUUUUUUAAUGUUGCAAAGUGUUGAAGCUCGAUUUGCACUCCUUUGGCCAUUUGUCUUUGAUUUGCUUUUUGAUGUAAAAAACAGAGCUCUGCUGUGUUAAGAAAUCAGUCAUUGACUGUUGUUAAGACAGAGAUUAGUGUUGUUUACAGCAGUGUUUUGCAGAUCUGGACAGUGUUUUUUUUUAUGCAAAUCUAGACACUGUUAGACAGUGUUGUUUACAACAGUAUUUUUUUUUGCAAAUCUGGACAGUUUUUUUUUGCAAAUCUGGACAGUGUUAUUUAUAGCAGAGUUUUCUUUUGCAAAUCUGGACAGUUUUGGACAAUGUUGUUUAUGGCAGUGUUUUUUUUUGCAAAUUUGGAUAGUUUUGGACAGUGCUAGAAAUUUUUUUGGCUUAGUUUGCACAACAGUGUUUUGUUUUGUUAAUUUUCCAAGGUUGUUGGUUCAUGAACAUGUGAUUUAACCUGUGGUUUCCACAAUUUGUUCCCAUUCGAGCAGUAACAAGUCUUCCUUAUACGAGCUAUCACAUGCUUACUGGGGUGAUUUAGAGGUCAAAACUGAGGCUGUUGAAAUGGAAAAUAGCCUGAUGGCCUCUUCUUUGCAAGUUCUGCCUUCUGCACUCUUUAGAAACACUAGACUGUAGAGUAGGAGGACCACAUACUAUCACACCAAUAUCUACACUUCCCCAACUCUUUGCAUGUGAUCCAAAUAUCUCUGCAGAAAAAGAAGUUAAAACACAUUGUCAUGAAAAUAUAGUAGUACACAUUAAAAUGUUUCUCCAAAUGUACCUUAGAAAUCUGGUCUUUCACCAUGUCGGAUAGUAUUAACAGAUCGAGCCUCUUCCAGAUUCUUAUGUAAAGAGGCCUCAAAAUUUUGCUGUAGGAUGUCAACCUUCUUUAUGUUGUCCUCUGGCUCCUCCUUCAGUGAGGUUUUCCUUUCCCAAAGAUACCAUAAAGCGAUCACGAGACCCCCAAAUAUAACAACACUUGCAACCAUGCAUCCAAUCAACAAAAGACCCUUGUACCACCAGUAAUAUAUGUUGUGUGGAUUUAUGUAGAAAAAAAAGUUGACAACCCCUUAUUUAUCUUUGACAGGUGAAUAAGAAAAGAGGAAACUCAUAAGAAGAGGUCUACUGUGGAGGUAAAGGUUCUGAUAAAUAUGAAUCAAGAAAGACCUUCAAAAGCCAAAAGAAAGACAAACGUCACAUACAUAAAAGCUGGAACAAUGGCAUCUUUGGCAAACCAAAUAAGGAGUUCGUUUAGCCAAAAAUAUGUUGUUCCUGCACGUCCAUCUAACAAAGAGCGUCCAUCUAACAAAGAGAGUCGAAUAUCAUUGAAGAGAAUCAGCUAAUACCCCAAUAUCCAGAAGUAGCAGUCAAUGUACACACUAGAUCAACCACUCCUGCAACAGAAGUAGUAGAGGAACAAGUCCAGUUGGAUUUGGCAAUUCCUAUCACAGAUGAACAAUGUGAAGAACAAGGCCCUUCCAUUCAAAGGAGAAAAAGAGGUUGAACAAAGAUGAAAAGUGUACAUGGACGGCAAGAGCGUAAAUUGAUUUUAAUUAACUACUUAAAUCAACCUGUUGGUCCUACUGAAGCUGUUGUGCUAGAGUUUGGAAGUUUCCUCGGCACGUUGGCAAGGAAUGCGACUCUAUGUCCUCUUGAUAUUUUGGAUUGGAGGAAGAUGGAUACAAAAGAGGAUGUAUGGGAAUAUACCAAGAAAAUGUCCAAAACUAAUAUUGAAAACCGGGAAAAGUUGAAGAAUCCUUACACUGCUGGAAAAAGAAGUUUUGCUUUAGUUCGCUCUAAGUUGGAAAAUGAUAAGGAAAUUUCGGAUCCUUUAACACCAAAGGAAGUCUUUGUAGCUGCAAGAAAAAGGAAAGCUGGACGAUCAUACAUGUUCUUGGAUGAAGACACAACUAGUAAAAUUGCUGAAAUGGAGGAUAUAAAAGCAUAACAAACUGAAAAUGGCAAUGAGCCCAUAGAGGCAUUUGCAGCUGUCAUGGGACAGGAACAUCCAAGGCGUUUGAGAUUGUAUGGACGGGGGGUUACAAGAACUUCUUUGAGAGGAAAAGUAGGAUGUUCUGAACACUCUUCACAUUCCACAAAUUGUUUGCAAAAAAUGGAGGAAAAAAUACAGAGAAUGGAAGAAAAAAUUGAGGAACAAAAGGCAACUAUUUGUCAAGAAGUUAUUGCGGAUGUUCUUGCACGACUUCAACGUUCUGGAAUUAACAUUGAUGCUAAUAUUAUUCUAGCAGCAUUGGGUGAUAAUUCACCAAGAGAAGUUUCAUCUUCACAACAAACAACUUUGCAACCAAUUCAUCGUCCAUCUAUUGGUAGCAUCAAAGGAGGCCAGCUCAUUACAGGUGCAACGAUUGCAGAUGAAAGCAGUGAUGAAGACCUUACCUGAGUGUUGUUGAUCGUUGCUAGACUUUCUCAUUAUGUUCCAGGAUAUUUUAGUUUAGAACUUUUUGUACGCAAACUCAUCUAUUUCAACUUAGAUAUUGUUGAUCAAACAAUAUUGCAUAUUUUAUUUUUGUGUAUGGAUAAUGCUAGUUUGAUAUUUCAAUGUUAUUUUGUAGUUUAUAUAA